AUUCCCGCGCACCGUGUUCUCGAAACCAGAAACAACGUAGUCAUUUUCUAAACUAUUCAACGAUUUUUCGAUGAAGCGUAUGCAGAGUGGCCUAAAAAAUUGGCAAUGGAACAAUCUGCAGAAGCAAACUACGAUAUCUUAACAGCCCAGGAUGGAUAAACACAUACCAAAACAACUACGUCACGCGUUCCAAGAAUUCUUUGUUUUGGUUUACGACAACACGGGGUACGUGCGUAGUUGCUUCCGCGCUAUCACCUUCACGUUAUUCGCGCGACAACCCUCGCACAGAGCGGGCGGUAGCAAAAUUUGCUCCAUAUCGUUGCGUUAAUAUCUUACAGAUUCUUAUCGCAAUAAGUAUUAGGUUAUUAUUCCCGCUAAUAAUUGUAGAUUUACUAUUUUUCAUACUAUUUUUGGCGUGCGAAAAGCGUAUAAACUUGAUAAAAGUAGUUUGAGAGUAACAUAGCCGCAGCGAAUUCUGUACAAAAUUGCAAAGCAAUUCUCUUUUUUGCUUAACUGCCUGCUCUGUACAUAGCAGUUCCGUGCGAUCGCGUUUUUUCGAGAUAUUUUUUAAUCAGUGUUGCAAAAUACGUAUCGGGAGUGCCGUGCAAUAUCGCGCGACCGUAAUUAAUCGUAAUUUCGCGAGUAUUUUGUGAAAAAGCAGCCAUCGAUGGACAACUGAGAGGAGGGAGAGGCCCAGGGGGCAUCCGGCAACGGUGGAGCAACUUUAAGGUGAAUAAUUUAUUAUUUAUUUAUUAUUUAUUAUUGAUGGAUG